rnacentral:rRNA from 1 species
AUUGAACGCUGGCGGCAGGCCUAACACAUGCAAGUCGAGCGGGGGUAGCAAUACCCUAGCGGCGAACGGGUGAGGAAUGCUUGGGAAUCUGCCUCGUAGUGGGGGAUAACGUUCCGAAAGGAACGCUAAUACCGCAUACGUCCUACGGGAGAAAGGGGGGGGAUCUUCGGACCUCUCGCUAUGAGAUGAGCCCAAGCGGGAUUAGCUAGUUGGUGAGGUAAAGGCUCACCAAGGCUACGAUCCCUAGCUGGUCUGAGAGGAUGAUCAGCCACACUGGAACUGAGACACGGUCCAGACUCCUACGGGAGGCAGCAGUGGGGAAUAUUGGACAAUGGGCGGAAGCCUGAUCCAGCCAUGCCGCGUGUGUGAAGAAGG